AGAGUUUGAUCAUGGCUCAGAUUGAACGCUGGCGGCAGGCCUAACACAUGCAAGUCGAGCGGUAACACAGAGAGCUUGCUCUCGGGUGACGAGCGGCGGACGGGUGAGUAAUGUCUGGGAAACUGCCUGAUGGAGGGGGAUAACUACUGGAAACGGUAGCUAAUACCGCAUAACGUCGCAAGACCAAAGUGGGGGACCUUCGGGCCUCAUGCCAUCAGAUGUGCCCAGAUGGGAUUAGCUAGUAGGUGGGGUAACGGCUCACCUAGGCGACGAUCCCUAGCUGGUCUGAGAGGAUGACCAGCCACACUGGAACUGAGACACGGUCCAGACUCCUACGGGAGGCAGCAGUGGGGAAUAUUGCACAAUGGGCGCAAGCCUGAUGCAGCCAUGCCGCGUGUGUGAAGAAGGCCUUCGGGUUGUAAAGCACUUUCAGCGGGGAGGAAGGCGGUGAGGUUAAUAACCUCACCGAUUGACGUUACCCGCAGAAGAAGCACCGGCUAACUCCGUGCCAGCAGCCGCGGUAAUACGGAGGGUGCAAGCGUUAAUCGGAAUUACUGGGCGUAAAGCGCACGCAGGCGGUCUGUCAAGUCGGAUGUGAAAUCCCCGGGCUCAACCUGGGAACUGCAUUCGAAACUGGCAGGCUAGAGUCUUGUAGAGGGGGGUAGAAUUCCAGGUGUAGCGGUGAAAUGCGUAGAGAUCUGGAGGAAUACCGGUGGCGAAGGCGGCCCCCUGGACAAAGACUGACGCUCAGGUGCGAAAGCGUGGGGAGCAAACAGGAUUAGAUACCCUGGUAGUCCACGCCGUAAACGAUGUCGAUUUGGAGGUUGUGCCCUUGAGGCGUGGCUUCCGGAGCUAACGCGUUAAAUCGACCGCCUGGGGAGUACGGCCGCAAGGUUAAAACUCAAAUGAAUUGACGGGGGCCCGCACAAGCGGUGGAGCAUGUGGUUUAAUUCGAUGCAACGCGAAGAACCUUACCUGGUCUUGACAUCCACAGAACUUUCCAGAGAUGGAUUGGUGCCUUCGGGAACUGUGAGACAGGUGCUGCAUGGCUGUCGUCAGCUCGUGUUGUGAAAUGUUGGGUUAAGUCCCGCAACGAGCGCAACCCUUAUCCUUUGUUGCCAGCGGU
rnacentral:rRNA from 1 species